rnacentral:rRNA from 1 species
AUUAUAAAUUGAUUUUUAACAUUUUAUAGGUGUG